UCCCAAGAGCAGUGGUUGCCUUUGACCUUGCUGCUGGCUACGGGAGGCUUUCCCCAUGCUUAUGUGUGCCUGCCAGUCUGGAACUGAGAAAAAAAGAAAAGCAAGGAGGUGCGAAUGGCCUGAUGGGAAGAAUUCCUGACCACAGCCAUCAGUGGAUUUGCAGUUCUGAGCACCCCAACUGUGGCAGAGGGGACUUAGAUUUUACAAGCCCAAAGUGUCGUGCAACAUGUGGGCCCUGAGGCCUAUAAACACUGUGACGCGUUCACACUAGCAAGUUCUAACGUUUAAAGAUGCCGUUAACGGACCGUGCGGAAGCUUGGCUCUUAACUCUCACUGAGAAUAAAUCGUGUUGAAACUGCUCCAACCCAGUCUUCAUUUGAAAGCUGCAUUUCUUCAGACUUCAGACGAGAGGCUGUAGACAACAGGAAUUCACCUCACAGUUCUUUUUGUUUUCCUUUCCUCUCCUGGUCCAGAGUUUGAACACAACGCCUUCUACAUGCCAAAUAGGACAGUCUAGAUUCGGCACAUCUUUGGAAAUGCUAUCUAGAAGGCCUGGGCCUACAUGGUGAAGCUUGGAAAAGCUCUUUCAGAUUGUUUACUGAUGUCUGUCCUGUGACUGUGAAACAAUGGCCAAUGAAAUAAUAACGUCCAGGAGGGAAUAUUUCUCCAAUUAAAGUGAAUCACAGAACAGCACCAGAACAUGUGGAUGCCUCCUCUUCCUCCUCUGCAGCCCCUUUGUUACCUGGACCAUUUACAAGAUUCUGUGAUCCUUUUCUGGAUGUCCCAGUGUAGGGGAAGGCCAGAACAGGGGGUCGUCUGGUCUUUGAACGGUACCACAGGAUGGCUUCCCUCAAAUAUGCAUUUUAUGUCAUACAAAUGCAUCGCAUCCCAGAGCCACCUCAGGGAUGAAUCCCAGCGUGAAGCUAAUGGUUGAGAAGUCUCGUCGGAUAGCUCACCAGAUUAGAUUCCACCUCUUCCUCGAUUUUAGCUCAGUAAGCAGCAGCCCCACAGCCCUUCUGCAAGGGGUGCAUCCUUUUGUUCUAUUCCAACAGCUAAGAAUUCUGAGAAACAUGCUGUGAGACUUGAAGAAAGAAACUGGCAUCUAACUGACAUUUCCCUGAGGAAUGCUGAAUGCCCAGUCAUUUACCCAGUGUCUCAGAAGAAGCCUGUGAGCCUUUCUUCUCGCCCUUCCUCGUCCCAGCUCUGCAGUCUCUCUAUAAACACCCCAACGGCCCAAUUAGGCUUUGAAUGAGCAAAUGAAAUCAUCAAGUCAUUGAUUACACAGUUUAAUAAUUUUUUUUCAAAACCAAAAAUGACUUAGGAAGAUUAGCAGUAGUCAGAUACUGAAGAAAGCUUGAAAAACUUCAAUUCUCCUUUCUAGUAAAAGUACAACAGUAGCAUAUCUUGCUUUAUGUGUAAUAAUUGUCAUUGGCUGUUCUUAUAACAGUGGCUGGGACUUGGAUGCACAAUGCAAACAAUAAUGUAAUUCUGAUCUUUUAAAGACAGUGAAUUAUUGAAAAUUUCAAUGCUCUCCCUAUUCUUUUUUUUAAAAUUCCAUGCAUUUGUACAACUUCUUACUUCAAAGGACUGCGUGAGGUACUUCAGCUAUCACAUGUUAAGUAAAAUUAUAGGAAAUUAUCUUCUGCUCUACCAGUGGCAUUCUAAUAAUGUGUCCAAGCCAUCCGUACAGAUACAGACAAGGUAACUCUACCCCUGAAGACACAGGACUGGAAAUCCAGCCUUAGACAUUAGACAAUGUAUAAGCCAUUUAUUUAACUUUCCACCUUUAGGGGUUUUUUUUCAUCCAUCAGAAUAAGCAAGCUCUUAUAGGAUUGCUUUGGGAAUCAGAUCAUUUUACAUAAGAUCAAGCGGCAUGGAGCUUGUAAGGCACAGGAAAUAUCUAUAUGUGUACCUGACACACAAGGGCAUACAUGUGCAUAGGUGUGUAUGUGUGUGUGUCUAUAUACAUAUGUUCUAUCUACCUUAGUUCAUUUAUGUGUUACAGGAAUUGAUGAUGCUCUGGUUCUGAACAAACGUUCAGCUAGUAUGAUAACUACUAAAGAAAAGACCAACUCUGGCAUGAUGGUGCAUACUUCUAAUCUUAGAAGGCAGAGGCAGGAAGAUCACUGAGAUCUGCCGGUAGUGAGUUCCAGGAUAGUCUAGACUACACAGAGAGACCUCAUCUCAAAAAGCAAACGACAGCACAAAAGGGGAAGACAGCCUUUAGCAACAUUUCCUGGCCUUUCGUGAAACAGGAUUGGCAUGCUCAAACGAAGAACAUGGUUCCUUAUUGACAACACAGCAAUUUACUGCCCCUGGGAAAAUCUCUGAACCCAAAGAGGAUCUGGUUAGAUACAUGAGAAGCAAUCUGCUUUACUACAAGUUGAUUAGAUCUAUUUUAACAUUAUACUGAUCUCCUUGUUGUUGUUGAUUGACAUUUUGUGGUUUCGGCAUUUUUAAAAGAUAAUUUAUACCUAUCUCCCUCAAUGGGAGGUGGAGGCAAUCUAGGAGUGAGCUCCAUGUACAUCAGCAAAUAAUGGCAAGAGAUUCUUAAUGUAGAAUUUUUAUUUUCAUUUUUAUUUAUAUUUAUUAUUUUGUUUUUUAGUUUAUUUUCAGUAUGUGUAUAUGUGUGUACUUGUGGGCCAGAAGACAACUUUCUGGAGCCAGCCCUUUCCUUCCACAUAUCUAUGGGCUCUGGGGACUGAAGUAGAUCAUCAAUGCUUUUACUCAUGGAGUGUCUCAUGGACACCCAUGCAGAGAUUAGUUCAAGGGUCUUGUACCUAAUCUGCCUGCUCUUCUUUGUCCCAGUGAGGCAUCCUUGAUUGAUGCUUUAAAAAGACUUGGGGUUUGGCUUUGUGCUCAACAAAUUGUCACCACUUUUCUUUUUGACAAAUGUUAAAAAUAUUCAUUGUAGAAAAUAGAAAAAUACCAAAUUGAAAACCUUUUAAAAGCUAAUGGUAGUUCCACUCUUCACAAGAAUGACUGGAACUGCUUUGGGCUGUACUUUUUUUCCCUAGCCUUACUUUCUGUUUCUUUUUCUACAACAUUUAAAGUUGGUACCAAUUUACAGUGAAAGUUUUACAUUAUAUAUUUUAUUAGCAUUGUGUAAUUAAUACUUCCUCAUAAAAUUCUACUAUAUGUGUAUAGCUACCUUCACUAUUUAUACCUUGAGAUAUCUAGGUUGUUUUAAACAUGUCUUUAUUAAAAUAUAAUUAAAAUAUAAUAAAUAUCAAUGUUCACUAAAA